CACAAACGUCGCCACGGCGACGCGGUGACAGCGUGGCCAGUGCUGGCCGCCGCCCAUGAUGACGCUGGCACCAGCAGCCUGCUGCCCACCCCGGGUGGCAGUGCUGGCACCUCUCUGUUUCCUCUCUCUUCUCUUCUUUGCUCUCCAUGUUAUGUGACUCGUUUUUCUUUCGUAGCCGUUGCCUGAAUUGAUCUUCAAGUUGUUGACACAGAAACAACUCCUGUUCCAAAGGACUCUACACGUAACGUUGAAGACCUGUUGCCAGAAGUUCAGAAGAAAGCCGGAGAGGAUUUCUGACCAAAGCACAGAGCAAGCGGCAUGGAGGAAUUGAAUCGCCACGGCCCAAAGUGAAAGAAGAGGGAUGGUCGUUUGAUGGAGAGUGCUUUUGUUACGGCCUGCAGAGCCUUUGUGCGUAAACGUGGGAGGAUACAGGACAGGAGACCCGGAACGUCCGUGCCGUGAGAGACCGGCCGGUCCUCCUGCAGUCCUCUCACACCUGCAGGGUCAGAACAGGUGAACAGACUGAGACGGCUGUUGGUGUGCAGUCCCUGACAGGAGCAGCGGAAGAGCCUUAAGGAAGCGGGGCUCUCCCAGAAGAGAGAGGCACGCAAACACUGCUGCUGUAAAGCUCCUGGAGGGCCGUCCGCAGGCUGCGCUCCUCCUCGUCCUCGUCGUCGUCGUCCUCGUCCUCGUCGUCGUCCUGCUGCUGCUGCUGCUGCUCCUCCUCGUCCUCGUGCCGCCUGUUUGCAAGCCAAGGACACGUGAAAGGAACGUCAGCGGGACUGAGGCGGAGCUGCACCCAGCCUGUGGUGGGCGACCCAAUAAAAGCCAA
rnacentral:lncRNA from 1 species